CACAACCCGCUUAACCAUGCCGCAAACUCGAACCCGAACCCAGGUGCAAACACAACCAUUGAUCGUCCUGCCACUUGCCUUACUCCUGCUGCUCUGCAUAGUCGAUCGGGCAGCCUGCGUGGCCCUGGUUUCCGCCAACAAUCGUCUGCCAUCGCAGCGUUUCUUCUAUGCCGCGGCCACACCCUCGGCCGCCACCUCACAGACCAAGGUGCGUCUGCUCCGUCAGGCGGAUGAUCCGGACGCAACAUCAUCGCAACCAGUAGAGGAAGGUAGCUGCUGUCAAGGAGCAGCAGCUGCAGCAGGAAAACCAAUAGCAGUGCCUCUGUCCGUGUCCGAGUUGAGCAACGUAACCGCCGAUUACGAUGUGUCUGGAGAAAUAUCUUCCAAGGAAACCUUCAAGCGCAGUGUCACAAGAUCUGCCGUAAGGAAUGCAACACCGGCAAGCUGCUCGCCGCAACCAACGAUAGUUGAGCUGAAGCCACCUGGCGAGGAGGAGGCCAACUAUUAUUAUACGCCAUCCUGCACACGGAUCAGUCGCUGCAACGGCUGCUGCGGUUCGACAUUGAUCUCCUGUCAGCCAACGGAAACGGAAAUUGUUCAGUUGCGCGUGCGUAAGGUGGAUCGAGCGGCAACUGGAGGACGCCGGCCAUUCGCCAUUGUCUCCGUGGAGCAGCAUAAAGCCUGCCGCUGCGAUUGCCGCACCAAGGCGGAAGACUGCAAUGUGUAUCAGUCGUAUCGCAAGGAUCUGUGCCGUUGCGAGUGCCACAAUCUGGAUGCACGGGACAAGUGCCUGGAGCAGGUGGAUAGCAAGUACUGGGACGACGCCAAUUGCACUUGCGUGUGCCGCUACAAUCAGAGCUGCACCACCGGCACUGUCUUUGAUGAGACGCAGUGCAAGUGCACCGACAUAAAAAAAUUCGAGUAUUUUUCUUAGAGUCCACAAUCAAUGCAAUCCAAACACACACACACUACACACAGAAAAUUGUUAACAAUUGAUUGGAAUAAUGUAUAACUAUUAAUUAACUUGUGAUAUCGUUGAAUUAAUUCGUUUCUAAAACCUAACAAAAAAUUGGCGUCUGUUGUUUAGAGAUUGAUUGGUUAAGGAUGCAAUAUAUGUAACUUAUAGCUGAGUUGAGGCAGAAAUGAAAGUGAAGAUAUGAGGAGACAACGUAUUGUGUUUGUUGCAUUGUCCAUCGGCACCCAUCGAUGUCCUGGAUCGCAAACGCUUUAUUGUUCAGGCCGUGCAGGUGGAUCCAG